UUUUUUUUUUUUUUUUUUUUUUUUUUUGCCAUUUCUAGGGCAGAUCCCGCAGCAUAUGGAGGUUCCCAGGCUAGGGGUCGAAUCGAGCUGUAGCCACCAGCCUACGCCAGAGCCACUGCAAUGCGGGAUCCGAGCCGAGUCUGCGACCUACACCACAGCUCAUGGCAACGCCAGAUCCUUGACCCACUGAGCAAGGCCAGGGAUCGAACCCAGAACCUGAUGGUUCCUAAUCGGAUUCGGUAACCACUGGCCAUGGGAACUCCAAUAGAUUUCUUGAGUAUCCUUUUAAACUGUGAGAUGGCUUAUCAGGUACUAUUUAAAAGGUUGAAAAUGGCAGAUUUUAAGUGUGAAUAUCUUAAUCGACAAAUAUUGAGUCCUGUUUUAUCUGAAUACCUAUCAUUAUCCCUAAGACACUUACUACCAUGCUGGGAGUUAAUAUCACAUACAUAUGAAAAGUUACCUAGUGAAGGUAUAUGCUAAAGACAAAAUGCCUUAAGAAUGGAAAUAAGCACUAGCUACCUGGAAACCAAAGUAAGAUAGUACGGGGAGCUAGCUUUGCUCUCCUGCUUGAGGAAGAGCAACUGAGCUGAAAACUUGGCAAGUGGUAAAGUAUAGGCUUUAGGGUAGGAGUUUCCAUUAAAAGCAGGAGGUGCCAGAUUGCAGUUGGCCUCAAAUGUCAGGCUAAAGUGUUCAUAGAGGAGGGCCUUGGGAAUUUUUUCUUUAAUACAAAGAAAUGAAUCAAUAAAAUAGUACCAUGGAUUCCUUUCAGUGCGCAAUAUUUAUAUCUUAGUGUAAAUACAGCAUUUGUCAAAUGAAAGACACUGCUCCCAUCUAAUGUCCACCGUGCUGCCUUUUUAAACCACUAACAUAUUAGUUGCAGAUACAAUACUAACAUUUAGCUUAAACCGCUGCACCAGGUUAAAUGAUAACUGGUGGUGUCAGGUUUCUACUCCUUUGACCCUAAAUGAAACUUUAGAGGUAAAACAUUUUCAGCCAGGGUGCAGGCCCUGGUGCCAUGUAAUCUAAUCUUCAUUUUAUAUUUAAACAGAAACUUUAUCUUAAAAAAAAAUCGUCUGUUAGUUAUGGGAGUAUGGGAGUGAGCUAAAAAGGCAUUUUGUUUUGAUCAACAUUCGACAUGCAUGGUUUUAGGAUUGCCAAACUGUUCCUGUCAUGUUUCGCUGGACUGGGUUGAUUUGUUGUUUUCUGUUUUUUUCUUUUAGGUUCUGGUUCCUUCCUGAUGAAUCUAUGAUUAAGGUGGUUUUUUUUUUUUUUUUAACAUAUUGAAAAGAUACUGCGUGAUUCAUAACCUAUGUGUUAGUUUUAAAUAACGAAUGUGAAUAAAUGUUUUAGGAGCAAGGGAAGUGCCUACUCAUGUCGCAGACAUUUAAUUGAAUGCCAUUAUCUUUUAAUGAAAUUUGACUGAUAACCUAAACCUUCCAUUUUUCUAGCUAUUUCUCUCUAUCCCUGCUUUCUAAACUGAGUUCUCAGUGGGACCAGGGAGUCAGAGGGCUGAUGUUCACAGGGUCCCUGAGAACGCUCAGUCACCUCAGUUGUUAUCUGAGUACACAGCAACUACCCCCCAUGUCCCAGAGAAGCAGCCGAGGAUCAGAGAGUUGACUGAGUAAAUUGUCACACCGCUAGUAAACACUGGGGACAAUGUCCAAACCAGACCUUCCAAGUCCUGAGUGACUUACGCCACGUUGCUUGCCCCUCUCUAAGUUAAAUUUGGGUGCCCUGAAGAGCUGUCUUUUCAUGACUGAAAUGCUGUAAUCCAAGUCUCUCUUUUGUCAGUCUUCCAACCAAUGGUGAUAGUUGAGACCCUGCUGGUGUCCUGUGGAGAAACGAAUGCUGUGCUGGGUAGAAAAAGUUUCUCUGAGUCUAGCCUAGUGAGCUGUGCGGCACUGAGUGAAGCGCCAGGUCUCUGAGAUUUGAACGGAGUGCUCCUGAAAGUCUUUCGAAGUUCUAGAAUCUGUGACUCUGAAUCAGAGGUUUUCAUCCAUAUCAGCAAAUACUCUGUUGUAGUUUAAUUUCUGUGCUAGGAUAACCCUGUCUACAAAUAGUGAUCAUGUCAUGGCAAUAAGAAAUGUAUUUUAAAAUCUUCGGUGUCCAGUUUGCACCCUCAUUGAAAUAAAAAAAUUCCAUGUAUGGAUUUUUGUUUCCCUUAGACAACACAAGACAUUUGACAGAAGAUCUUAUUUUUAUCAUUUCCAAAGUGUUAAAACCAAACCUUCCUUUAAAAAAAAAAAAACAUAUUACAGCUUAAUAAAAGUGGAACAGUAAAAAAACUGCCUCUAGAUCUCCUAGAGGAAGAACUUCUACCAGGAGAACAUAAAAAUUCCUAGAGGGUGGGAUCCAGGCCUUUUCCUCUUUCUGCUCUUUAUAUGCUUUACGAGUCAUCUACUUUCAAUGAUGACUUGUUUGAAUGAAUGAAUGAAUGAAUGAGUGAAGAAGGAAACACGGACAGAUUUGAGUUCUAGAGAAGGCAAGCAGCUGUGUAGGCUGCUCACAGCCCGAAUACUUACCAGAGUAAACAGUAGCGUCUGAAGGUCCUUGUCUUCAGUGGCUAGGAAAACAGGAGGGGAGGGAGGGGCCUCUGCUGAUGAACAGCUUUUGCAAGGAUUCCUGGAGCAUGAGGUAGGUCUCACUCUGCAAGAAACAUGCUAUUUGGGGUGGCCUAGAACACCCAAUAGUCCUCUGCUUCUGUGACAGGCCAGAAAAUGAGUACUUCUUGAUUAAUAUUGAAGGGACUUGUACAGCAAUGAAAUUUCAUCAGGAUCACUUUAACCUUAAUAUUUAUUUAGGUAUAAGAUUAGAAACAAUUAUUUGCAGCGUUGAUGCUCCACACCACCUAGGGCCCAGUUCCUGCCCGUAGCUCUUAACCACACUGCCAGCCCUUUCCCCAGAGCCCUUAAGAAUCCCCUGACCCAGCAACCAAAGGCCUGACACCCGGCUCCCGGCUCCCACCUGGCCAGCAGGCUCUCCGGCUCCUUUGUGCACCCGCCAUACAAGUCAUUAAAAACAUUUUCAUAUUACCUCUAUUUGUAUUUACCUAUUUAGACAGUUGUUUGUUUCAUGUCAUCAUGUCCGUUAAACUUGAGUUUACUGGUUUUUACUAACUGCAACUAAAAUGGGUAAUUUUUUGUCUAAAAUGUAAGUUGUUUGAGCAUAUAUCCAACUUGAGAAGAUUUAUGAAAAUCAUGUUUACUGGGUUACCAUGAAAUAUCAAAGUCUUCAGUUUUCCUUUCUAUUUUUCACCAAAUAAUGUUUUAGUAAACAGGUGUUGCCAGAGGUUAAAAAAAAAAAAGAUUCAUCAUCCUCUUUAUGGUGAACCCUUGUUUCCCACCCAAGAACCUCCACUUGGCUCUCUCCCCAGUCCUGCAUAGCCACUCACACUCCCUCGCUGACCUGUCCAAGUCACGCUGAUGAGGCCAGCGUUUACUGUUGCCUAAGUAUUCUGUCCCAGCCUGCCUGUAAAAAUGCGUCCCUGUAACCUUUUACAGAUCUCCAAGGUCACCAACUUGAUGAACUGGCAUUAAUUACAGGGAUGUUCUCUCCACCCCCAUUGGUGGGAAGAAUCACUUUAAGGUGGAAAUAAAAUGUAACAUAGUGAAAUGAGUAACACUUUUGGUUCAACAGUUCUAAAUCCGGUGCCCCGUAUUUACACCGGGAGCCUGGAAUUAAGUAGUGGUGGCAAGUGGCACGCUGACCGGACACUGUGGCAGGCAGUGGGACGGGGCUUGCCUCGUGCCAGUGUCAUCUCUCUGUGCGGGUAAAGCCACGGAAAGAGCAGAAAGAAUGGAAGGAUGGAAUCAAGAUCACGAAGCUGCUAGACUGUGAGAUGAGGAAAGAGAGAAAAGAUUGGGUUCACAGAACUCUUGGGCAGUCUUGUGAGCAAUCCCACCAGCUGCCGUGUCAGCAAUAAUCCCGCUCCCUCCCCUCCAGGACCGGCUUCCUCUCUGGCCCAGCGGCUGAUGGGCCGAGACAGCAGGCGUUCUCUGUGCCAGGUUCCUGGACCCCUAGGGACCGGUAGCCGACUUGACUUGCUCCUCUCCCUCAGCUGACCAGGUUUCAGCAUUUCAGCUGGUCCGGUGCCUGACUGCACAAAGGCACACUUUCACUUCAUCAGCCAGGCCCUGUCACUUGUCUGGAACAUGGAGCAGACACCAAGCAGGACGGGAGGGGCUGGCCAUCUUGCUGGCAGGGCCAUUAGCCAUGAGCCUGGUGGGGGAAGGAGGUCGUUCACCUCUAGGCUCAGACCACGGAUGUCUGAGAACUACUUCCUUGUGAACUGUGAAAAUAUGAAAUUAUGAUACGUGGCCCUACAUAACCACCUGCCAAACCAUAGACAUGCUUUUCUCACAGACGAUGUCGAUGACGUAUCUUUAAACCCCACGCGAUGAAACAGGUCCUAAAACAUUCAUUCACCCUGAAGAGUUUGCUGGUCCCUGGAGGAGGCAGCUGAGCACAGGGGUCUAGACCGGCUGCCACGGAAGUCCUGGGAUCCUUUAAAUUACCUCUGACUCUCACUGUGCACCUGUAAAAUGGGACCAUGCAACCUAAGGCUGCUGUCAGGAUGAUGUGAGUAAAUGCAUGUGAAGUGCUCAGCAAAAUCCCUGGACCACCGGAAGCGCUCAGGAAACAGCAUGAUUUUAAAAACUGAAAAGAGUAAGGCUUGGUUCUAGUGCUUAUUUAUCAGUGCACACGUGUCUUGGAAUGUGUGUAAAUAUCUCUAUUUACGUUGAAAUUGCAUCUACAGAGCUCAAACUAGUUAGUCAUCAGUUUCCUGCCACUUCCUAUUGCACAAAAGCCUUUCCUGUUCUCAGGACUGCUGACACUAGGAAGUAAAAGGACAAAUAACUCGAUGAAAAGGAGCCUUGAUCCCAGGCUGGCUGUGUGUCAGCAGCAACAAUGGCUGAUCCGAAGCUGGCGCGGGGCCUUCGUGCUCUCCAAGACCCAGUUUUCAGCUGCUAGAUGAUAGAAACAGUUCUGGGGCUGCGGGGUAAAGGUGGAAAAGGCGAGACUGCCUGCCUCUCGUCCCUGUCCUGUAAACCCCUGAGCUGGCAGCGAGUGGAGGGACCUGGGAAGAUGCCACCUGGUGGAGGGGCCGUGACUCAGGUGGACAGGCUCUGCCUUCCAGACCUGCGGGAGCUCCCACGACCCCAUCCACUCCAUCCAGACCUUCUAACACUAACCGUUGUGAGUGGACCCAGGGUUUAAAAUGUGAGGUCUGAGCAACGGAUGGGCUUUCUCCCAUCCCUGGCCCCGGGGCUCCGGCCUGCAAGCAUAGCCGAGUGAAGGAGCAGGGGCAUCCGCCCCCUGCCUGCUGAGCCAAACCAGGCUUUCUUAUGUCUCAGCAGACACUGGUAAGAAAAGCAGUGAACACCGCCACCCUGUUUUUAACAUCAGAUACCAUGGGAAAAAAUAGCUCGUGUUUUGGGGAACUUGAAAUCGCCAAGUGGGGUGGGAGGAGCCGACUGCCUUCACACUCACAAGUGGCUGCUGCAUGUCAGUUCCACUAGGUCGUGCAUGAAGCAACUGGAAGACAGUGACAGCUCUGGGUUCCCAGGGCCCUCCCUGAAGUGGCCUUGGUGUCUCCGAGGGAGCCAGCAGCCUCAGCUUCAGCAAGACUAGAUCUGAGACCAGGGUCAGAUCCAGUCCCAGCCCCAGGCCCUGCAUCGAGGCUCGGAAAAAUUUACCGGUGGAGCCAACACUUUCUCUUAGAGGUUUUCAAGGUAUCCAGAUGGUUUUCAGCAUGAAGGCCAGGACACACAAUUUAAUCAAGGUAGCUGAAAGGAGAAAAGAAUCUUCAAAUAAACAGUUUCAUAAUUAUGAGUCUGGCUUCACAGUGAAUCACAUACCCGUUAUAAUACUAAUGCUGAACAAAAUUUACAUUUGCAUCAUAUGUUUUCUGGUUACCAAGAGGGCCAGAGUUAUCAAUAGAUUCCUAAGGGGUGUGAUUCAGUCUGAACUAUAAGUGGAUCCCUGACGUUCUAAGGGCUUGAUAAGAAUUUUCCUCCAGUUAUCUGUUUCUAUAAAACUGGCUUAUUGUAACUUGUGGACAACAAUUAUGCACUAAGCAAAGGUAAUGCUUCAGACCAUUUGCAAAAAACUUGUCGCAUAUUUUCGGCCAGAUCUGCCCAAGGCAAAAUCUUGGCCAUAUCAUUGAACUGGGUGCAAAGGGCCCAAAUCUGAGCUCAGGGCUGGGCCUUCCCUCUGGCCUUCCCCUCCCCCACCCAGUUUCAAGUUCAGUAGCUUGCCUCUUUGCCUCUGCCUUCUCCCAGCCCAACAGCCUCUCCUGUCCCGGAGGUGCCAUGAGUGUGGGCUACUUGAAGCUUGCUGCUGUGACUGAUGGAGCUUUUUAUUUAUUUUUAUAACGUACUGUGCACUACUAGCAGCACAAUGUGUAUGUCCCAUAACUUUGUUCUUAAUGUCUGUCAUUGCACUUUCUGGAUGGGAGAUUUUGCAGGCUUGCCAGCAAAUAUAGCUUUAAAAAAAAAUUCGUAAGAUUUUUCCUUGUCAUUUAUCUUUCAUUUGAUACUGUGUUCAGUGGCCUCAACUUUGCUUGUACAGCAUUCAUUAACGAUAUCAUUCUAGGAGUUCCCUUGGGGGUUAAGGAUCCAGUGUUGUCACUGCAGCAGCUCGGGUCGCUGCUAUGGCCCGGGUUUGAUCCCUAGCCUAGGAACUCUCACAUGUCCCGGGCACAGCCAAAACAAAACCAAAACAGAACAAAAACCAAUGUCAUUCUAUAAAAGCAGCAAAGGGAAGUGCACGAGGAAAAAAAAAAAAAAAAAGAGUACAAGGAAACAAUUUCCAGAAGGCAAACUUGCUAGGAAGUGAGCUUAAUAGCAGUUUUAUUGUUCAAGUUCUAAACACAGAAAUGCCCCUCCUUGCCGCUAGCCCGGCCUCCGGCUCAUCUACCUCUCAACCCCAGAGCGCUCACGUGGCUCUGGUCUUCCCAUAUACCCUCAGGUUCAGGUUGGUUGGAGGUGGCUCAGGAGAGCUUUAAGAUUCUGGGCUGUUAUUAAAAUUGUUGGCAAGAUUUACAUUGCUGAGGAAAAGGUGCUGGUUUCUGUGUGAUGUUAACCAUAGGAAACUAUUUCAGAGAAGGAAAAAUAAGUAAAUAAAAGGGCCCUUGGACCUGUCAUUUGUUACUGGAAUCUGAUUAAAUUAGAUGACCUCACAAGACUCACAAAUGCUGUCCGUCAUGGGUCCCGGCCCCCACAGUGGUCCUGGGACUUGGUAGGAAAGAGCUUUCUGGGGCCUCAUAACUUCCACUGAUUAUUUCCUUUGUGUUCCCCACGACUUAGACCUUUACAAGCGUGACCCCACUUAGUCUCCCCAACACCCCUGGGUUGUUCACCAGGUUUGUAUCAAAUCCUGGCUCCAACAGUUUCUAGUUCUGCAGCCUUGGGCCGUUAAGUCCCCACUCCGUGCCUCUGCUUCUUCAUCUUCCAAAGAGGCUCCUUGUCCCAACUCUCAGUUGAGGAGUGGGCCUGUGUGAGUUCAGAUACGCAGAGGCCUGGCAACAGAGUCACAGCUCAGUAAUUGCUAUUGUUAGGCCCCAACAGGUGCCUCUGGUUUGCAGUCCACUUGCAGGAUCCUGGCAUCUGAUGAAGCAAAGAUCAACAGCAGUUUGUCAAGGUAUUUCUCUUCUUCCUGAGCACGCAGCUAAUCGACACUUCCCACCUCUCUUGAAGUUAGUCACGGCCACGUGACUGAGUUCCCGUGACAAAAUAUGAGCUGAGGCAAUGCCCUCCACUGUCACCUGUCCCAGAGGGGCCUCCUGGAUGAAGGCUUGUUGAAAAUGAGCAUCCUGAAAACACGGCCGGAGAAGGGGCCACCUUGCAGAUCUCUUCAGCUGCACCGUUCUGUUACCUCAAUAAGAAAUGCUGUGGUUGUCUUUAAUUAAUAUGCAUUUGGCGAGCUAACUUUUGCCAGCACAGCUCGUAUACAUUGAGCUCAAUAAAGGAUUGAUUCGUGGUAAACUGUUG
rnacentral:lncRNA from 1 species